rnacentral:lncRNA from 1 species
CUGGAACUUAGAAGAACAAGACCUGGGUGUCAAAGGUUUGGUUUACCGUCCUUACUGUGUCUGCAGGGGGUACCCCUCUAUGAGCAUACACCCCUGUGAUCUAGUCAUACUGAAUUGGAGACUCACUUUUUUUUUAUUACCUCAUUAAAUUAAAAUUACGUUUUCCAAGGUCCUCGCUCCCGAGACAGUCACAUUGGAAUGUGGAGAGAGGCUGUACAAUUCAGUCCAUAGUACGAGUUGGCUGGACGGUUUAUACCACUAAUGAGCCCUUUAAAUAACUGCAGCAUGGAGGUAAUUGGAGUAGCCCACAGAACUUCCAAAAGUUCCCCUUAUUUUACGUGAUUGCUAUAGCAAUAUUUCACCCAACCUCCUCUUCUUGUCAUUGCAUGUUUAUUUCUGCCUAUCUGUCUCCAGGGACCCUGAGACCCAGACUCUGACCUUGGUCAUUGCUUCACAGACACCAUAUCCAGAGAACUUGACUCUAACCUGGACUUCCGUUCAUUGCGGGAGCAAAUACUUCACGGAGGCUUGUUUUCCCAUGAGCCAGGCACGAUAAAUGGACCCAGCAGAAGUGAACGAAACAGAAACCCAGGCUACAGUUCUGUAUAUCCUGGAGCACCCAGAACGAUGCAGACCCUUCAAGUUUCUUAGUUUACUACUUUGGGGGAUAUUUUGAAAAGAUUUUUUUUUUCUUCAUAACCUCAAGGCCAAUGUUUCAGAGUUGAACUGCAAAUGUAUUCUGUUGUGGCCAGAGAUUCUUGGAUAUUUCAGCUACUUCUUAGGCUGUUCAAUUUCCUGUUUCAUUGAUCAGAGAGACCAUCCUUGCCCACACAGGAAUUGCAAGGUUUUUGUAGUAAUAGGAUCUAACAAUCUAAAGCAGGUAGAAUAGCUCCUCUUGAUCUUCGUCUGAGAAGUCCCCCUGUCAGGAGAUAAGCAGAAGACAAAACCACUGUCCGAAUUGGAUUCCUACGCCUUAUGACCCAUUUAUGGUUGUACAAAGCUAGAGGUCCUGAAGUCGGCUUUACAGAAAGCAGGGACGUGGCUAUAAUUGGGCUCUAGCCCCAAGGGCGUUUAGCUUGAGUUUUACAUGAAUACAGCCCUGGGUUCUGUUGCCUAACUAUAAACAAACAAAUGAAUCAAUAGCAGCCAUGUAUUAGCCAUUGAGUCCGAGGUGAAUUUCAUGUGCAGUAUGUAAAGGACAUGUGCCGGUGUCUUCCCCUGGACACUGUGUCAUC